rnacentral:lncRNA from 1 species
CAGAGCCAGAGCAUAAGGGCAAACGAGGCUUGAGGAACUUGCCAAGCGAGAAGAGGGGAGCCCAUUUUGCCUUCAGAUCCCAGCAGGGCAUGUUUAGGGCCAGGAACAUGAGACAAGGCUAACAGGUCAAGAGUCCUGUGGUAAUUGCAGUGAUGGGGCAGGAGAGACGGGAAAAGUGUGAGUUCUAAGGACAUGUGUGUCUUCCUGGGAUGGUGGUUGUCACGUGAGGGAGGACUGUAUCUUAUCGUCUCAGGAGUCCUUCAUCCACAGGAUAACACAAGCAGACACUGGGCGCAGGAGUCCCUGCUUACACCCUUGGAUGGGAGGGUGCACACACCAGCCUCGAGACGGAUGUUGAGAGAAGGUAAAACGAAAGAUUUGCAGGUGACUCAUAU